UACAGAGGUGGCAAGCGUUGUUCGGAAUUACUGGGCGUAAAGGGCGCGUAGGCGGCCUUCUAAGUCAGACGUGAAAUCCCCAGGCUUAACCUGGGAACUGCGUCCGAUACUGGAUGGCUUGAGUUUGGGAGAGGGAUGCGGAAUUCCAGGUGUAGCGGUGAAAUGCGUAGAUAUCUGGAGGAACACCGGUAGCGAAGGCGGCAUCCUGGACCAACACUGACACUGAGGAGCGAAAGCCAGGGGAGCAAACGGG
rnacentral:rRNA from 1 species